rnacentral:rRNA from 1 species
UGACCUCGGAUCAGGUAGGAAUACCCGCUGAACUUAAGCAUAUCAAUAAGCGGAGGAAAAGAAACCAACAGGGAUUGCCCUAGUAACGGCGAGUGAAGCGGCAACAGCUCAAAUUUGAAAUCUGGCUCUCGGGCCCGAGUUGUAAUUUGUAGAGGAUACUUUUGAUGCGGUGCCUUCCGAGUUCCCUGGAACGGGACGCCAUAGAGGGUGAGAGCCCCGUCUGGUUGGAUGCCAAAUCUCUGUAAAGUUCCUUCGACGAGUCGAGUAGUUUGGGAAUGCUGCUCUAAAUGGGAGGUAUAUGUCUUCUAAAGCUAAAUACCGGCCAGAGACCGAUAGCGCACAAGUAGAGUGAUCGAAAGAUGAAAAGCACUUUGAAAAGAGAGUUAAAAAGUACGUGAAAUUGUUGAAAGGGAAGCGUUUAUGACCAGACUUGGGCUUGGUUAAUCAUCUGGGGUUCUCCCCAGUGCACUUUUCCAGUCCAGGCCAGCAUCAGUUUUCCCCGGGGGAUAAAGACUUCGGGAAUGUGGCUCUCUUCGGGGAGUGUUAUAGCCCGUUGUGUAAUACCCUGGGGGGGACUGAGGUUCGCGCAUCUGCAAGGAUGCUGGCGUAAUGGUCAUCAACGACCCGUCUUGUAACACGGACCAAGGAGUCGUCUUCGUAUGCGAGUGUUCGGGUGUCAAACCCCUACGCGUAAUGAAAGUGAACGCAGGUGAGAGCUUCGGCGCAUCAUCGACCGAUCCUGAUGUUCUCGGAUGGAUUUGAGUAAGAGCAUACGGGGCCGGACCCGAAAGAAGGUGAACUAUGCCUGUAUAGGGUGAAGCCAGAGGAAACUCUGGUGGAGGCUCGCAGCGGUUCUGACGUGCAAAUCGAUCGUCAAAUAUGGGCAUGGGGGCGAAAGACUAAUCGAACCUUCUAGUAGCUGGUUUCCGCCGAAGUUUCCCUCAGGAUAGCAGUG